rnacentral:rRNA from 1 species
UACGGGGGGGGCAAGCGUUGUUCGGAAUUACUGGGCGUAAAGGGCUCGUAGGUGGCCAACUAAGUCAGACGUGAAAUCCCUCGGCUUAACCGGGGAACUGCGUCUGAUACUGGAUGGCUUGAGUUCGGGAGAGGGAUGCGGAAUUCCAGGUGUAGCGGUGAAAAUGCGUAGAUAUCUGGAGGAACACCGGUGGCGAAGGCGGCAUCCUGGACCGACACUGACACUGAGGAGCGAAAGCCAGGGGAGCAAACGGG